AGGAGUGAAAAAAGUAAUAGAAAUGUGUCAAUAUCUAUUUAGAUUGUUUCUAAAUGUUUUACAUCAACUCAAAAUUAAGAUUUACAAAGUAUUGUCUAUGUUGGACCCGGACGAUUUGUGUCGCUAUGCAUGCUUCAGUACCGCGGAAUAUAAACCCACGAAGAAAAUAAGAAACAAGUCGUCAAUGUGAACCCA